rnacentral:rRNA from 1 species
CCUUCCCCUUCGGGGGACAAAGUGACAGGUGGUGCAUGGUUGUCGUCAGCUCGUGUCGUGAGAUGUUGGGUUAAGUCCCGCAACGAGCGCAACCCUUAAGCUUAGUUGCCAGCAUUAAGUUGGGCACUCUAAGUUGACUGCCGGUGACAAACCGGAGGAAGGUGGGGAUGACGUCAAAUCAUCAUGCCCCUUAUGAUUUGGGCUACACACGUGCUACAAUGGACAAUACAAAGGGCAGCUAAACCGCGAGGUCAUGCAAAUCCCAUAAAGUUGUUCUCAGUUCGGAUUGUAGUCUGCAACUCGACUACAUGAAGCUGGAAUCGCUAGUAAUCGUAGAUCAGCAUGCUACGGUGAAUACGUUCCCGGGUCUUGUACACACCGCCCGUCACACCACGAGAGUUUGUAACACCCGAAGCCGGUGGAGUAACCAUUUAUGGAGCUAGCCGUCGAAGGUGGGACAAAUGAUUGGGGUGAAGUCGUAACAAGGUAGCCGUAUCGGAAGGUGCGGCU